rnacentral:rRNA from 1 species
AUGGUGAUGGCCAGCGCCGGCGUCAACAACAUGCCCGAGGGCGCCAUCGACUCCGAGGAAUGCCGCCUAGUGCGAAGACGCAGCCGCCUCAACGCGCGCCGCUACGCCCACCACGCCUCCUCCGCCCCCGGCCCCGGCCCCGCCGAGGAAGGAGGGGAAGAGGCAGAGCCCUCCUCGGAGGAGGAGGAGGGCUCUGCAUCUGACGCGGUUGUUGCGGCGGCUCCCCAGCAGCUGCCCUCCAAGGAGAAGGAGAAGGAGAUGGAGAAGGAGAAGGCCAAGUCGUGGUGGAGAUGGCCCGUGUCGUUCGGGUCGGUGGCGCUGGCGGGGCGGCUGCGGGAGAUGGAGGACACGGUGUCGCUGCACCCCAGCUUCUGCGCCUGGGCCGACGGCUCCCCCAUGCACCUCUUCGCCGUCUUCGACGGCCACGGCGGCCCCCACGCCGCGGCGCUGUGCAGGGAGCAGAUGCACGUCAUCCUCGCGGAGGAGCUGGCCGGCGCGGCGGCCGACUUGCACCAGACAGCGGCGGCGUCGUCGUCGUCGUCUUCUUCUUCUUCUUCUUCUUCUUAUUCUUAUUGGGAGAAGAAGGAGAAGGAGCAGCAACAGCACGACCAAGACUCGUCGGAGCAACAACAGCACGACCAAGACUCGUCGGAGCAACUUGCGUGGCGUGGCGCUCUGUCCAGGAGCUUCGCCCGGGCGGACGCGCUGGCGGUGUCGGCGUGCGCGUGCGGGCGCGGGAGUACAUGUGUGCCCAAGUCGUGCUCGUGCCUGCUGUCGUCGGCGCAGAAGGGCGCCAUCGUGGGGUCGACUGCCGUGGUGGCGCUGCUGGUCCGCGACCGCCUCAUCGUGGCCAACUGCGGCGACUCCCGCGCCGUGCUCUCACGAGGUGGCGUCGCCGUGCCGCUCUCCCAGGACCACAAGCCGGACCGGCCGGACGAGAUGGCGCGGAUCAAGGCGGCCGGAGGCAAGGUCAUGUACAUGAACGGGGCGCGCGUCCGCGGCAUCCUCGCCAUGUCCCGAGCGCUAGGGCACAGGCUCCUGAAGCCAGAAGUGAUAUGCGAGCCAGAGAUCAGCAUAACCGAAAGGUGCGAGGAGGACGACUGCCUGAUCCUCGCCAGCGACGGGCUGUGGGACGUGAUCUCCAACAAGGUGGCCUGCGACGUGGCCAGGCAAUGCCUGGAAGACGGGAGCCCCACCAGAGCUCCUGCAGCUGCGGCUGGGAGCAGCGGCAGCGCGCCGGCGGUUUCCCAGGAGGAAGAGCCCCGGUGCUUCCGUGCAGCGGCCCUCCUCGCGAGGCUGGCCCUCGGGAGGGAGAGCUCCGAUAACAUUAGCGUGGUGGUGGUUGAUCUGAAGGCGAGGGGUUGA